CCUACGGGUUGCACCAGUGGGGAAUAUUGCACAAUGGGCGCAAGCCUGAUGCAGCCAUGCCGCGUGUAUGAAGAAGGCCUUCGGGUUGUAAAGUACUUUCAGCGGGGAGGAAGGUGUUGUGGUUAAUAACCACAGCAAUUGACGUUACCCGCAGAAGAAGCACCGGCUAACUCCGUGCCAGCAGCCGCGGUAAUACGGAGGGUGCAAGCGUUAAUCGGAAUUACUGGGCGUAAAGCGCACGCAGGCGGUCUGUCAAGUCGGAUGUGAAAUCCCCGGGCUCAACCUGGGAACUGCAUUCGAAACUGGCAGGCUAGAGUCUUGUAGAGGGGGGUAGAAUUCCAGGUGUAGCAGUGAAAUGCGUAGAGAUGUGGAGGAACACCGAUGGCGAAGGCAGCCCCCUGGGUCAAGAUUGACGCUCAUGCACGAAAGCGUGGGGAGCAAACAGGAUUAGAUACCCCCGUAGUC
rnacentral:rRNA from 1 species